CGAACGGGUGAGUAACACGUGGGCAAUCUGCCCUGCACUCUGGGACAAGCCCUGGAAACGGGGUCUAAUACCGGAUACUGACCCGCUUGGGCAUCCAAGCGGUUCGAAAGCUCCGGCGGUGCAGGAUGAGCCCGCGGCCUAUCAGCUUGUUGGUGAGGUAAUGGCUCACCAAGGCGACGACGGGUAGCCGGCCUGAGAGGGCGACCGGCCACACUGGGACUGAGACACGGCCCAGACUCCUACGGGAGGCAGCAGUGGGGAAUAUUGCACAAUGGGCGAAAGCCUGAUGCAGCGACGCCCCGUGAGGGAUGACGGCCUUCGGGUUGUAAACCUCUUUCAUCAGGGAAGAAGCGAAAGUGACGGUACCUGCAGAAGAAGCGCCGGCUAACUACGUGCCAGCAGCCGCGGUAAUACGUAGGGCGCGAGCGUUGUCCGGAAUUAUUGGGCGUAAAGAGCUCGUAGGCGGCUUGUCACGUCGGUUGUGAAAGCCCGGGGCUUAACCCCGGGUCUGCAGUCGAUACGGGCAGGCUAGAGUUCGGUAGGGGAGAUCGGAAUUCCUG
rnacentral:rRNA from 1 species